rfam:Brassica napus, WGS project CCCW01000000 data, contig: 22909
CCAUCCACCCACGGUAAGUCCUUACAACUUUGGCCAGCUCUUUCUAGCAUCAUCAAACCCAUUCAGUACAUUCCAACAGUCCGGCCAGUCAGUCCUCAGAUCAUCCUAUCACCGAUCUUCGGAACACGGUCGCUACACUCUUCCCGUUGCUCUGAUGAUUCAUGAUAACUCGACGGAUCGCAUGGCCUUAGUGCUGGCGACACAUCAUCAAAUUUCUGCCCUAUCAACUUUCGAUGGUAGGAUAGUGGCCUACCAUGGUGGUACCGGGUGAUGGAGAAUUAGGGUUUGAUUCCGGAGAGGGAGCCUGAGAAACGGCUACCACAUCCAAGGAAGGCAGCAGG